GGCCUCUGCCCCGAGGACACCCUCUGGGAUCCGGGCUGCACCGUCUCCAUUUCCCAAGUGAGAAAUCACACAUCGGUGCUUGGCCGACAAACCGCAGUCACAUCGCUGGACCUCCGCCUCUGGGUUAUCCCUGUAGCCCCUGAGCCCUGCUGCUUCCUAGCAGAACCAGGUGACUUAACGUCCUAGGCUCCAGAGCUGGAAGGGACCUCAACAUUUUCCAGGAAUUUCCAGCCCACUUCAGGAGGCCAAGUUCCAGAAAACUGCCAGCGGCUGUGACACUUUGGAGCCUCCUCAUGGGUUCCAGGCCAAAGACAUGGCAUUUCAUUUGCUCCUGCAACAGCCUUUGAAAGGGGGUCCUGCUGUCCACGCUACUUUGCUGGGGAGGAGCUGGGACUCCAGCAGUAAGGUGACCGGCCCGAGGUCCUGCAGCUGCAAAUGCCACACCCAGGACUGGAGCCCAGGUCAGUCCUAAAGCCUUGCCACCCGCCGCCAGGGCCCUGCUGUUCUGGAGUCUCCACAGCCAAGGUAGGAAUCACUCCAGACCCCAUGGGCCUGAGAUGCUGAGAUGCAUUUACCUAUUAGCUGUCUUUUGGCAUUUGGCAUUUUCUUAGCUUUUAGAAAAGAAAGAAGCCGCCU
rnacentral:lncRNA from 10 species